CGCGGCCUAKCAGCUUGUUGGUGGGGUAAUGGCCUACCAAGGCGACGACGGGUAGCCGACCUGAGAGGGUGAUCGGCCACACUGGGACUGAGACACGGCCCAGACUCCUACGGGAGGCAGCAGUGGGGAAUAUUGCACAAUGGGCGCAAGCCUGAUGCAGCGACGCCGCGUGAGGGAUGACGGCCUUCGGGUUGUAAACCUCUUUCGCCAGGGACGAAGCUUUUGGGUGACGGUACCUGGAGAAGAAGCACCGGCCAACUACGUGCCAGCAGCCGCGGUAAUACGUAGGGUGCGAGCGUUGUCCGGAAUUACUGGGCGUAAAGAGCUCGUAGGCGGUUUGUCGCGUCGUCUGUGAAAUUCUGCAGCUUAACUGUAGGCGUGCAGGCGAUACGGGCAGACUUGAGUACUACAGGGGAGACUGGAAUUCCUGGUGUAGCGGUGAAAUGCGCAGAUAUCAGGAGGAACACCGGUGGCGAAGGCGGGUCUCUGGGUAGUAACUGACGCUGAGGAGCGAAAGCGUGGGUAGCGAACAGGAUUAGAUACCCUGGUAGUCCACGCCGUAAACGGUGGGUACUAGGUGUGGGUUCCUUUUCACGGGAUCCGUGCCGUAGCUAACGCAUUAAGUACCCCGCCUGGGGAGUACGG
rnacentral:rRNA from 1 species